rnacentral:tRNA from 1 species
UGUAGCUCAGUGGUAGAGCACUUGCCUAGUAGACAUGAGGCCCUGGGUCCAAUCCCUGCA